CCUACGGGAGGCAGCAGUAGGGAAUAUUGCUCAAUGGGGGAAACCCUGAAGCAGCAACGCCGCGUGGAGGAUGAAGGUUUUAGGAUUGUAAACUCCUUUUGUUAGAGAAGAUUAUGACGGUAGCUAACGAAUAAGCACCGGCGAACGCCGUGCCAGCAGCCGCGGUAAUACGGAGGGGGCAAGCGUUACUCGGAAUCACUGGGCGUAAAGAGUGCGUAGGCGGGGUCAGAAGUCAGAUGGGAUCUCCUGUAGCUUAACUCCAGAACUGCAUGUGAAACUGUUACUCUGGAGUGUGGGAGAGGUAGGUUGCGUUCUUGGUGUCGGGGUAAAAUCCGUAGAGAUCAAGAGGAAUCCUCAUUGCGACGUCGACCUGCUGGACCAUUCCUUCCGCUGAUGCCCGACUGCGUGGGGCGCACACAGGAUUAGAUACCCCUGUAGUC
rnacentral:rRNA from 1 species